CUGCAGUUAGUUAAGUCAACUCACUACUUCCCCAAUGGAGGCUCAGUGUGCAGUGGCUUCAGAAAGCAGAUUCCUUGUUUGUGUAUGCAGCUCAUCCUUUAUGUGUUAGUAUGAGGGACCUGGGAGUUGUUU